UGGUGCUAGACAAGAUGACUACAGCAGAAAAAUCAUAGCAUGCUUCCCAGACCUGGACCUGGCCUUCUUGGAUGAAGAGGAAGGAGAAGAGGAAGAAGGAGCCAUCGAAGAUUCGGCCCCUGAUCCUGCUUUAGCUAGAGAACGACCAAGGUCUAGUCUAGCACUUGGGGAUGUGCCAACACCUUCCACCAUUGAAGCUUUCUCACCACCGGAGCUUACUGAAGCUACUCCAAGUUCCUC
rnacentral:lncRNA from 1 species